rnacentral:rRNA from 1 species
CGUACCUUGCGGUUCAGAAAUGAUCGGCCUCAGCCGCUAAGUGGCUGGCGAAUUUAUUGCGGAACCUGCGGA